ACUCUCCGAGAAAACCCAUGAACAGAACUUCACCACUUCCAUGUUCACCACCAGAAUAUCAAUAAACAAGAAGUAUUUUUCUCAACAAAAUCAGAAAUCAAUACCUCUCUGAGUGGUUAAUCAACUGUAAAUCAAAAACAUCUGUUAGGGAGAAAGCAGGAUUGGCAGGAUAGGUCUAAAAACAUGAGGAGAGGGAAACAAGAAGCAGACAAUAAUAAGAAUGAUAACUCUCCCAAGCCGAGUUUGCCAGGGUUUAAUGAAAUUCCUAAACAGAUUGAUCCCAGAAUGAAGGAAAAGGAUCACCUUAUGCGGAAGAAGAGGACUUGAAGAAGAAUGUGCUUAAGAUUCCCCCAACAUCAGUUGUUAAAACAACUCGCGGUAGCCGUUGACUAAGUUCUCAGUCUUCUCACGUUGUUUAUUUUCUUAUGUCAGGGUGAAUUUAUGUGAUUGUGGUGAACAGUUUGAAUCCCAGUUCAGAAG